rnacentral:snRNA from 1 species
ACCGCUUCUCGGCCUUUAGGCUAAAAUCAAAGUGUAGUAUCUGUUCUUAUUAGCUUAAUAUCUGAUGCAAUCCACGUGUGGGGAUAUUAAACUGAUUUUUGAAAUAUGGCAAGGUGCUAGGGACUUGCUCCGACUUUGCCGCGGAUCGGCCCGGUAUUGCAGUACCUCCAGGAUUGGUCCACUCACC